CUCCCCCCUCCCCACCCCCCACCUUCGCCAGCCCUCCGCAACGAGACCCAAACGGGGGAGGAAAACGUGAAAUGUUCACAGGGAGAAGUGGUUCCCUUUGUUCUUUUCAUUGUUUCUACCCCGAAGUGGCGGAGACACGAGGACAAACGCUUACCUUCUCUCCUUUUUGCUCCGAAACACACACGUUCCCAUCAGCUGGAAAAUGCACGGUCCACCUUGGAAGCGGCUACAGACGUCGGGAGACGGAGGAGAUAAGGGAAUGCGCCUGGAGCUCCGGAUCAAAUCGCCGACUCUCCCCGGGUCACCGGGAUCCACACGGUCCUUGGAGAUGAGGAGCGCCAGAAGACUGUGGCCUGACCGUCCCUUACGUCACGAAAGUGAUUUGUACCACAUUGCUAAUUUGGUGCAAUUCAUAACCUCCCGAUCUCCUACGUUUGCAACUGCUUUUUCGGCUCGCAGGGUGUGUUUUUUUAAGAUGUAGCUCCCCAGCGCAGAAAUUAAGAGCAAUCACCUAUGUGCAGGAGAGCAUCUUAUUUCCCAAUGUUUGUUGCUUUACCUUUGUCUAAUUAAAAAUGCAAACUUUUAGGAUCCUUUCAGAACAAAGCCUCACCAAAUCCCCUUUACGUCCAAGGAUUUGCAAAUUUAUAAAGGCUGCAUUGAAUUCAGCAUGGGUCAAGGGGCAAAAAAAGGGUAGAAGGUCACUGCAUUUUGAUUAUGGGUCAGUAAACAACAUGGCAUGUAGUAUGUGUCCAGAAACUCCUGCUAAAAAGUAUUUUAAAACUACCUAACUCAAGAAAUAGCCUUAGCCCGUGGUGAUUAUAAAUUGCACAAAAUUCUAGUGCGCAAGUGACACCCCAGCCCCCAUGGUAAGAAAAAAAAAAACAACCACAACUUAAAAAGCACUUAGCAAAACUCUGCGCUGCUGCUUUGUUUACCAAAAAAAACCCCAACAAAAAACCACCCCAACCCCCAAAAAACAACCCUCCCCCCAAAAAACACCAAAAAACCCCGAACCAACCCAACCCUGAAACUCCCAGGCAUAAGAGUGUUAGCCAGAUUAGGAGUAUUUUUAUUUAUUUUUUUUUCCCAGACUGACGGUUGGCAUUUCUUUGUCCUACACAUUUAGAAGAUUUUGUCCUGUGUUGUGAUUUGUUGCCGUACUAGAAUUUACGGCAAAUUUUAGGUACAACCAACAGCUGACUUUAAAAUAGCAGAAGGAUCCUAUUAUACUGUUCUUUGACCCUAUUAUAUUUACGUUACUGGACUCUUUGUGAUAGCCUCUAGCUGCUUUCAGUGUCCUCCUUGAGCAAAACAUGCCCAGCGAUGUCUAAAAGCAGGGUGGAGGGUUAGAAAACAAGUUCUCAUUCGAAAUAUAUAUUUCUUCCCAGCGUCGUGAAAGCAAAAGGUUUAUUUAAUGCUUGUCAAUACCUGAAGACACGGUCCAGCACUUAACAAAUAAUAAUAAUAAUAAAUAAUAAUAAUAAUAAUACUCUAACA
rnacentral:lncRNA from 1 species